rnacentral:rRNA from 1 species
GUGGGGAAUAUUGGACAAUGGGGGCAACCCUGAUCCAGCCAUGCCGCGUGUGUGAAGAAGGCCUUUUGGUUGUAAAGCACUUUAAGCAGGGAGGAGAGGCUAAUGGUUAAUACCCAUUAGAUUAGACGUUACCUGCAGAAUAAGCACCGGCUAACCCUGUGCCAGCAGCCGCGGUAAUACAGAGGGUGCGAGCGUUAAUCGGAAUUACUGGGCGUAAAGCGAGUGUAGGUGGCUCAUUAAGUCACAUGUGAAAUCCCCGGGCUUAACCUGGGAACGGCAUGUGAUACUGGUGGUGCUAGAAUAUGUGAGAGGGAAGUAGAAUUCCAGGUGUAGCGGUGAAAUGCGUAGAGAUCUGGAGGAAUACCGAUGGCGAAGGCAGCUUCCUGGCAUAAUAUUGACACUGAGAUUCGAAAGCGUGGGUAGCAAACAGGAUUAGAAACCCGUGUAGUCC